UCAUCCGCAAUGGACGUAAGUCUGACGGAGCAACGCCGCGUGAGUGAUGAAGGUUUUCGGAUCGUAAAGCCCUUUUGUUAGGGAAGAANNAGUGCCGUUUAAAUAGGGCGGCACCUUGACGGUACCUAACCAGAAAGCUACGGCUAACUACGUGCCAGCAGCCGCGGUAAUACGUAGGUGGCAAGCGUUGUCCGGAAUUAUUGGGCGUAAAGGGCACGCAGGCGGUUUCUUAAGUCUGAUGUGAAAGCCCCCGGCUCAACCGGGGAGGGUCAUUGGAAACUGGGGAACUUGAGUGCAGAAGAGGAGAGUGGAAUUCCACGUGUAGCGGUGAAAUGCGUAGAGAUGUGGAGGAACACCAGUGGCGAAGGCGACUCUCUGGUCUGUAACUGACGCUGAGGAGCGAAAGCGUGGGGAGCGAACAG
rnacentral:rRNA from 1 species